AGAAUCCCCCGCCCCUCCCCUCUCCUCCCCAGCAGGCGCACCCCACAAAUGGAGGGCACCCUCACUCCCCGCAAAUGGAGGGUACCCAGAGAAGUUCUGCCGGAGAUGGGAUUUCCUCAGUCCUAGUCAAAUCCAUUUCCUGGAUGGAACAGUGAGACAGUCAGAGAAACAAACCAAGGAACAAAACAAACGAUUUUCGCUGAUCGGGUGCAGGAUCCCGCCUCCCCAGCUUGUAGUAUCACAGCUUUUUAUUUGUAUGCAUACGUUCUUUAAAAUGCCUGGUGCGUAUGUCAUUUGUUUUUGGGAUGAGCAAUGCCACAAUAGCCGAAAGAUUGUGUUACUGUUAUAAUGUAAAAGAAUGUACAAUGUGCGUUGAUUACCUCCUUAGCACUAUUCCAGGGUGAUUUCUUAGGGAAAAUAUAUUAAACUUGUAUGAAAUGAACCUGCAGUGUCGACUCAACCUUAUCAACCAAAGU